CCAGCGGCGGCGGCAGCUGAGGUGAGAGACGGCGGCGGCGGCGCGGGCACCCGGCCCCCCAGCGGGAGGAUGAAGCGGCGGAACGCCGACUGCAGUAAGCUCCGCCGCCCCCUAAAGCGGAACCGGAUCACCGAGGGCAUUUACGGCAGACCCAGUUUACAACCUGCGCCAUAAUAGCUACUCAGUGUGAAUCGAUGUGAAGAAGUGAAUUCAUCGUUUAAUGAAGAUUUAUCAUCUUACUGAUGGCUUUUGAAAUUUGAAUUUUCUUACCCUAAAGGUUAAUUGUAAAUACUCUUUGCAAGUUAUUCAGAGGUUCAUCUGCAAAAUUUUAAAAACCGACAGUGCAUUAGCCUUAAAUCUUCUUAUGCUUCUCUGUUUUGCAUUCUUUAAGUUAAAUGUUAAUAAAAGACCUAAAUGUAUUUCUAACUGUCUUUCCUGGUUGGAGUAUCAUAUAUCAAAUGAGCGUUUCAACUCACUUAUCUGUUUCUUGGUUUAUAUUAUGGAGUAUUGGACUGAAGAACAAGAUUUUUUUUUUUUUGCC
rnacentral:lncRNA from 1 species